AGAGAUGAUAUAACAGAGGUGUGA
rnacentral:siRNA from 1 species